CCUACGGGAGGCAGCAGUGAGGAAUAUUGGUCAAUGGGCGCGAGCCUGAACCAGCCAAGUAGCGUGAAGGAAGACGGCUCUACGGGUUGUAAACUUCUUUUAUAAAGGAAUAAAGUGAGGCACGUGUGCAUUUUUGUAUGUACCUUAUGAAUAAGGAUCGGCUAACUCCGUGCCAGCAGCCGCGGUAAUACGGAGGAUGCGAGCGUUAUCCGGAUUUAUUGGGUUUAAAGGGAGCGUAGAUGGUUUGUUAAGUCAGUUGUGAAAGUUUGUGGCUCAACCGUAAAAUUGCAAUUGAUACUGGAAGCCUUGAGUACGGUUGAGGUAGGCGGAAUGCGUGGUGUAGCGGUGAAAUGCAUAGAUAUCACGCAGAACUCCGAUUGCGAAGGCAGCUUACUAAGCCGUAACUGACACUGAUGCACGAAAGUGUGGGUAUCAAACAGGAUUAGAUACCCUGGUAGUC
rnacentral:rRNA from 1 species